GGUGUGGGAGAGGAGGGAGGCCGAGCGGGAGGGCCGGAGAGAAGCGGGCGGAGAGGUGCUCCGCGGUGCUCCAGCCAGGGCCGCGGUGCGCCUGCACGUCACCGCUACUCAAAACCAAGCACGUCCCGAAAGCGGUAUUUUCUGCGUCUGGGAGGUUUUUGCAUCCUCAGUUCCCACCGCUAGGGCUGGCGGCAACCAACUCACCGACCUGUCGCAGCCGGAUAGCUGUCAUUUCAGCAUCGGGGUUCAGACGAAUUGAUCCACUCCGUAGCGGAGGGGGCCUCUCUUAGCUCCGGAACUGCUGCUUGUCUCUGGUUGGAACAAUAGUAGAUUUUUUCUCACCGGGGCUGCAAUUAACAUCUUAUUUGUUCUGGCUAGAGACGAGCUCUGUCAAGACCGCGCUGAAGCGACCGAGGUUGGGCAUCUUGCAUUGCUUUCUGCAUGGCAAUGGGAUCAUGGUUGUGGGGUCUGAACUUUUUGUUGGGGUUGUUGUUGUGUAAUAUAUCUGAUUCUUUUUCAAGUUUCCCUAGUAACAGGUUUUGGGACAGGGGUGAGAAAGACCGAAGAAAGGGGAGGAGAAGCUACCAGAUCCUCGAUUUAUUAGAGAGAAAAGGAUAAAUUUCCACACGUCCUUUAAGUUUUUGCCUCCUGGACAGUUGAAAUAUUUGAUAAACUAGCUUUGGAUACUACUGCAAAGGUCAUUUGCCUCCCGAUUUGUCUCUACUUGUAAACGCAGUUGGUGGUUUGCAAAACAAGUGUUAAAAUAGUUUAAUGAUAUUGUGGGAGGACACCAUAAUGGGUAAUCUGUGCGAAGUGUCCAUGCCUUCCUAAGAUUGAGUUGUUUGAGUAGCAGGAGGAGUUGAAUAAAAAGCAAUUUUCCAUUA